UGGGCUGGGUCUAAUCAGAGAGUGAAGGAGGGAAAAGAGGGGUCCCCUGCCUACCAGGAGCCCUGGUAGGAAAGCCUCCCUCUGGAGAGGGGACGGUGAGUGGGGCAGGACCCAGUCUGAGUCUUCUCUCCAGGAGCCCUUAGAGGGCAGUUCUAUUCUCUUCUAGGGCUUCCCUGGUGGCUCAGAGGGUAAAGAAUUUGCCUGCAAUCCGGGAGACUCAGGUUCAGUCCCUGGGUUGGGAAGAUCCCCUGGAGAAGGGAAUGGCUACCCACUGUAGUAUUCUUGCCUGGAGAAUGCCAUGGACAGAGGAGCCUGGCGGGCUACAGUCCAUGGGGUCGCAAAGAAUUGAACACGACUGAGUGACCACACUACUACUAUUAUGGCUCCCUGAAGAAUUUCAGCUAUCUCCAUCAAAAAACCUCACACUGAAGAUCUGUAAAAUAUGAAUGUGUUACCAUGAAGCCCUCGCCCUGGAGGAAGCAUGCUGCCUUUCUGGAGUGGUCCUGUUGUUGUUGUUCAGUCGCUCAGUGGUGUCCAACUCUUUGCAACCCCAUGGACUGCAGCACGCCAGGCUUCCCUGUCCGUCACCAUCUCCCGGAGUUGGCUCAAACAUGUCCACUGAGUCUGUGAUGCCAUCCAACCAUCUCAUCCUGUGUCACCCCCUUCUCCUCCUGCCCUCAGUCUUUCCUAGCAUGGAGUGGUCCUAUGGACAGGCAUAUGUGACAAGGAAUGGAUGUCUCUGGAAAACUGUCAAUAAUGACUUGAGGUGGGGCUACUGCUACAUGAAUGGGCUGGAAGCAGAUUCCCCCCUUAGUCAGGCCUCUGAGAUGACAGCCACCCUAGUUGUCACUUGACUGUUUUCAUUUUUAAUCUGGCUGCACCACAUGGCAUUCAGGAUCCUAGGUUCUCGACCAAAAAUUGAACCCAAGCCCACUGCAGUGAAAGUGCAGACUCUGAACUACUGGACUGCCAGGGAAUCCCCACUUGGGUGGUUCUGGAAUGGAGAUUCUGAGUUAAAGACACCCAGCUAAGCUGGGCCCAGAUUCCUGAUCCACUGAAACCAUGAGAUAACAAAUAUUUAUGGUUUUAAGCCUCUAACUUUGGGGGCAAUUUGUUACACAGUAAUAGAUAACCAAUGCACCUGUGUUUUCCAUUGGCCUUGGAGCUCCUUGGGAACUCCUUUAUCUUCAGAUCUGCUGGGGCAGCUCACUGGAGACAAUGAGAAGAUCCUUCAAGCUUUGAGGAAGCAAAACCAAACCAAACCAACGGGUUUCAUACAAAGGAUCCAGAAUCAGAAUGGCAUCACCUUCUCAAUACUUAACUCUGGAAAGCCAGAACACAAGAGAACAAGAUCUCAAAAUUCUGGGGAGGGGACUUCCCUGGUGGUCCAGUGGCUAAGACUCUAUGCUCCCAAUGCAGGGGCUUCCCAGGUGGUACUAGUGGAAAAGAACCCCCCUGCCAGUGCAGGAGACAUAACAGAUGUGGGUUUGAUCCCUGGGUCAGGAAGAUCCCCUGGACGGCACCGCAACUCAGUCCAGUAUUCUUGCCUGAAGAAUCCCAUGGACAGAGAAGCCUGGAGGGCUAUAGUCCAUAGGGUCGCAAAGAGUCGAACACGACUGAAGCAACUUAGCACACACACAUGCUCCCAAUGCAGGGGCCCAAGUUUGAUUCCUGGUCAGGGAACCGGUCCCACAUGCUGCACCUAAGAGUUGAAAGUGAAAGGGAAGUCGCUCAGUUCUAUCUGACUCUUUGCGACCCCAUGGACUGUAGGCUACCAGGCUCCUCCGUCCAUGGGAUUUCCCAGGCAAGAAUACUGGAGUGGGCUGCCAUUUCCUUCUCCAGGGGAUCUUCCCGACACAGGGAUUGAACCAGGUCUCCCGCAUUGCAAGCAGAUGCUUUUACCAUCUGAGUCACCAGGGAAGCUGCGUCUAAGAGUUGGAAUGCCACAACUAAACAUCCUCGUGCUGCAGCCAAGACCCAGCACAACCAAAUAAAUAAAAACAUUUAAAUGAAAAAAAAAAAGAC
ensembl:lncRNA